rnacentral:rRNA from 1 species
UACGGAGGAUGCGAGCGUUAUCCGGAAUCAUUGGGUUUAAAGGGUCCGUAGGCGGUCUUAUAAGUCAGUGGUGAAAUCUCCUAGCUCAACUAGGAAACUGCCAUUGAUACUGUAGGACUUGAAUUUUUGUGAAGUAACUAGAAUAUGUAGUGUAGCGGUGAAAUGCUUAGAUAUUACAUGGAAUACCAAUUGCGAAGGCAGGUUACUAACAAACGAUUGACGCUGAUGGACGAAAGCGUGGGGAGCGAACAGG